UACGUAGGGUGCAAGCGUUAAUCGGAAUUACUGGGCGUAAAGGCGUGCGCAGGCGGUUUGUAAGUCUGUCGUGAAAGCCCCGGGCUCAACCUGGGAAUUGCGAUGGAGACUGCAAGGCUUGAAUCUGGCAGAGGGGGGUAGAAUUCCACGUGUAGCAGUGAAAUGCGUAGAGAUGUGGAGGAACACCGAUGGCGAAGGCAGCCCCCUGGGUCAAGAUUGACGCUCGAUGCACGAAAGCGUGGGGAGCAAACAGG
rnacentral:rRNA from 1 species